rnacentral:rRNA from 1 species
GACGAACGCUGGCGGCGUGCUUAACACAUGCAAGUCGAACGGGAUCCAUGUUGUAGCAAUACUUCGGAAGAUCUAGUGGCGAACGGGUGAGGAACACGUGAGAAACCUGCCCCGAACUUCGGGAUAACAGUUGGAAACGACUGCUAAUACCGAAUACCUCUGCGAAGUGGCAUCACUUUGCAAAGAAAGAAUUUCGGUUCGGGAGGGUCUCGCGGCCUAUCAGCUAGUUGGUGGGGUAACGGCCUACCAAGGCAUCGACGGGUAGCUGGUCUGAGAGGAUGAUCAGCCACACUGGGACUGAGACACGGCCCAGACUCCUACGGGAGGCAGCAGUGGGGAAUCUUGUGCAAUGGGCGAAAGCCUGACACAGCAACGCCGCGUGCGGGAAGAAGGCCUUCGGGUCGUAAACCGCUUUCAGCAGGAACGAAAAUGACGGUACCAGCAGAAGAAGGUGCGGCCAACUACGUGCCAGCCGCCGCCGUAA